rfam:Bursaphelenchus xylophilus, Ka4C1 (inbred line), WGS project CADV01000000 data, contig: scaffold00579.79
CAACUGGUUCUUAUCAGAACCAUCCAGAUUUCUUUCCAUUAGUUUU